rnacentral:rRNA from 1 species
GUGAACGCUGGCGGUAGGCCUAACACAUGCAAGUCGAACGGCAGCACAGUAAGAGCUUGCUCUUACGGGUGGCGAGUGGCGGACGGGUGAGGAAUACAUCGGAAUCUACUUUUUCGUGGGGGAUAACGUAGGGAAACUUACGCUAAUACCGCAUACGACCUACGGGUGAAAGCAGGGGAUCUUCGGACCUUGCGCGAUUGAAUGAGCCGAUGUCGGAUUAGCUAGUUGGCGGGGUAAAGGCCCACCAAGGCGACGAUCCGUAGCUGGUCUGAGAGGAUGAUCAGCCACACUGGAACUGAGACACGGUCCAGACUCCUACGGGAGGCAGCAGUGGGGAGUAUUGGACAAUGGGCGCAAGCCUGAUCCAGCCAUACCGCGUGGGUGAAGAAGGCCUUCGGGUUGUAAAGCCCUUUUGUUGGGAAAGAAAAGCAGCAGGUUAAUACCCCGCUGUUCUGACGGUACCCAAAGAAUAAGCACCGGCUAACUUCGUG